rnacentral:rRNA from 1 species
GAAGUAGGCGGAAUGUAGCAUGUAACGGUGAAAUGCAUAGAUAUGCUACAGUACACCAAUUGCGAAGGCAGCUUACUAACCUAAAACUGACGCUCAGGCACGAAAGCGUGGGGAUCAAACAGGAUUAGAUACCCUGGUAGUCCACGCUGUAAACGAUGAUCACUCGUUGUUGGCGAUAUACUGUCAGCGACUGAACGAAAGCAUUAAGUGAUCCACCUGGGAAGUACGAUCGCAAGGUUGAAACUCAAAGGAAUUGACGGGGGCCCGCACAAGCGGUGGAGCAUGUGGUUUAAUUCGAUGAUACGCGAGGAACCUUACCUGGGCUUAAAUGUUUGAUGACAGUCCCCGAAAGGGGAUCUUCCUUCGGGACAUCUUACAAGGUGCUGCAUGGUUGUCGUCAGCUCGUGCCGUGAGGUGUCGGGUUAAGUCCCAUAACGAGCGCAACCCCUAUUCUUAGUUGCCAUCAGGUAAUGCUGGGGACUCUAAGAAAACUGCCUACGCAAGUAGUGAGGAAGGUGGGGAUGACGUCAAAUCAGCACGGCCCUUAUGUCCAGGGCUACACACGUGCUACAAUGGCCAGUACAGAGGGUCGCUACCUGGUGACAGGAUGCUAAUCUCGAAGCUGGUUCAGUUCGGAUUUGGAGUCUGCACUCGACUCCAUGAAGCUGGAAUCGCUAGUAAUCGCACAUCAGCCAUGGCGCGGUGAAUACGUUCCCGGGCCUUGUACACACCGCCCGUC